rnacentral:rRNA from 1 species
AGCGAACGCUGGCGGCAGGCCUAACACAUGCAAGUCGAACGAACUCUUCGGAGUUAGUGGCGGACGGGUGAGUAACACGUGGGAACGUGCCUUUAGGUUCGGAAUAACUCAGGGAAACUUGUGCUAAUACCGAAUGUGCCCUUCGGGGGAAAGAUUUAUCGCCUUUAGAGCGGCCCGCGUCUGAUUAGCUAGUUGGUGAGGUAAAGGCUCACCAAGGCGACGAACAGUAGCUGGUCUGAGAGGAUGAUCAGCCACAUUGGGACUGAGACACGGCCCAAACUCCUACGGGAGGCAGCAGUGGGGAAUCUUGCGCAAUAGGCGAAAGCCUGACGCAGCCAUGCCGCGUGAAUGAUGAAGGUCUUAGGAUUGUAAAAUUCUUUCACCGGGGACGAUAAUGACGGUACCCGGAGAGGAAGCCCCGGCUAACUUCGUGCCAGCCGCCGCAGUAA